rnacentral:rRNA from 1 species
AGAAGUUGGUUAUCAACUUCUCAUUUUGUUCUAGGAUUCUUCUUUUUUGUGGGCCAUUUAUGGCAUGCAGGAAGAGCCCGAGCUGCUGUAGCAGGUUUUGAAAAGGGAAUCGAUCGUGAUUUGGAACCUGUUCUUUACAUGAACCCUCUUAACUAA